CUACGUGCCAGCAGCCGCGGUAAUACGUAUGUCACAAGCGUUAUCCGGAUUUAUUGGGCGUAAAGCGCGUGUAGGUGGUUAUGUAAGUCUGAUGUGAAAAUGCAGGGCUCAACUCUGUAUUGCGUUGGAAACUGCAUGACUAGAGUACUGGAGAGGUAAGCGGAACUACAAGUGUAGAGGUGAAAUUCGUAGAUAUUUGUAGGAAUGCCGAUGGGGAAGCCAGCUUACUGGACAGAUACUGACGCUAAAGCGCGAAAGCGUGGGUAGCAAACAGGAUUAGAUACCCUGGUAGUCCACGCCGUAAACGAUGAUUACUAGGUGUUGGGGGUCGAACCUCAGCGCCCAAGCUAACGCGAUAAGUAAUCCGCCUGGGGAGUACGUACGCAAGUAUGAAACUCAAAGGAAUUGACGGGGACCCGCACAAGCGGUGGAGCAUGUGGUUUAAUUCGACGCAACGCGAGGAACCUUACCAG
rnacentral:rRNA from 1 species